rnacentral:lncRNA from 1 species
UCUAUAGAUCUUCAUCCCUAAGAUGAGAGAUGCUUUUCUCAAAGUCCUUUAUGGAGAGCAAUAAUAACAGUGAAAUCUUUAUUCUCUAUAAUGUAAGGAAUGCCAUUUAUGAUUAAGAGAAUUUUAUUCACAUACAAAAUAAGAAAUAUACUUACAAAACUAUUAACCCAUUUGUAUUUGCAGGGUUCUUCUUCGUUCUCAACGAAGCCAUGCAUUUUGAUCACUUAUCAAAAUGCACGUUCCAACUCUAAAAUAUUUAGCAUUGCCACAAGAGAAAAUAUCUUGUCAUGGUAAAUAGC